AGCCUGAUGCGCCAUGCCGCGUGUGUGAAGAAGGCCUUCGGGUUGUAAAGCACUUUCAGUCGUGAGGAAGGUAGUGUAGUUAAUAGCUGCAUUAUUUGACGUUAGCGACAGAAGAAGCACCGGCUAACUCCGUGCCAGCAGCCGCGGUAAUACGGAGGGUGCGAGCGUUAAUCGGAAUUACUGGGCGUAAAGCGCAUGCAGGUGGUUUGUUAAGUCAGAUGUGAAAGCCCGGGGCUCAACCUCGGAAUAGCAUUUGAAACUGGCAGACUAGAGUACUGUAGAGGGGGGUAGAAUUUCAGGUGUAGCGGUGAAAUGCGUAGAGAUCUGAAGGAAUACCGGUGGCGAAGGCGGCCCCCUGGACAGAUACUGACACUCAGAUGCGAAAGCGUGGGGAGCAAACAGGAUUAGAUACCCUGGUAGUCCACGCCGUAAACGAUGUCUACUUGGAGGUUGUGGCCUUGAGCCGUGGCUUUCGGAGCUAACGCGUUAAGUAGACCGCCUGGGGAGUACGGUCGCAAGAUUAAAACUCAAAUGAAUUGACGGGGGCCCGCACAAGCGGUGGAGCAUGUGGUUUAAUUCGAUGCAACGCGAAGAACCUUACCUACUCUUGACAUCCAGAGAACUUUCCAGAGAUGGAUUGGUGCCUUCGGGAACUCUGAGACAGGUGCUGCAUGGCUGUCGUCAGCUCGUGUUGUGAAAUGUUGGGUUAAGUCCCGCAACGAGCGCAACCCUUAUCCUUGUUUGCCAGCGAGUAAUGUCGGGAACUCCAGGGAGACUGCCGGUGAUAAACCGGAGGAAGGUGGGGACGACGUCAAGUCAUCAUGGCCCUUACGAGUAGGGCUACACACGUGCUACAAUGGCGCAUACAGAGGGCGGCCAACUUGCGAAAGUGAGCGAAUCCCAAAAAGUGCGUCGUAGUCCGGAUUGGAGUCUGCAACUCGACUCCAUGAAGUCGGAAUCGCUAGUAAUCGUGGAUCAGAAUGCCACGGUGAAUACGUUCCCGGGCCUUGUACACACCGCCCGUCACACCAUGGGAGUGGGCUGCAAAAGAAGUAGGUAGUUUAACCUUCGGGGGGACGCUUACCACUUGUGGUCAUGACUGGGGUGAAUCG
rnacentral:rRNA from 1 species